GCAAGAGCUUGUGGAAACACAAGUUGAAGGACAGCCUGGACUUACAGAAGCAGACUGCUUUAAGUUAGUUCCAUAAGUGUUCGAAAGCUGCCCCAAAUGACAGCACUUGAGGCAGACUGGAAGACUGACAUCCAGGUGCUGAAAUCUCAGGCACACAAGAGAGGUGGCAGCUGCUGACAGCAACAGGAAGAGGAAAGUGUGACCCAGUUGGGUGAUGUGGAUGUCAAAGGAGAAGGCGCUUUCAGGAGAGAAGAGAGUCUUCACAUCUAAAAGUACCAGAACGGAGUGGGUGGUGGAUGUAGUGAGCUGAGCUGAGAGCUGACAGGAAAGGGAUUUCUGGCAGAGGAUGCAGACAGACCCUGCAUGACUUUUGGAAGAAGUGUCUCAGAUUGCCUAACAUUGAGGUCUGAAAGGUUUUACCUUUUCAAUAAUAAAUAUUGUUAGGGGAAAUA